rnacentral:rRNA from 1 species
UACGUAGGGGGCGAGCGUUGUCCGGAGUUACUGGGCGUAAAGCGCACGCAGGCGGUCUGCUAAGUUUGGAGUGACAGUUGGUGGCUCAACCACCAAAGUGCUUUGAAAACUGACAGACUUGAGGGCUUCAGAGGGACACGGAAUUCCGGGUGGAGUGGUGAAAUGCGUAGAGAUCCGGAGGAACACCAAAGGCGAAGGCAGUGUCCUGGGGAGUACCUGACGCUCAGGUGCGGAAAGCCAGGGGAGCGAACGGG